rnacentral:rRNA from 1 species
UACGGGGGGAGCAAGCGUUGUUCGGAUUUACUGGGCGUAAAGGGCGCGUAGGCGGCCAGCACAAGUCAGUUGUGAAAUCUCCGGGCUUAACUCGGAAAGGUCAACUGAUACUGUGCGACUAGAGUGCAGAAGGGGCAACUGGAAUUCUCGGUGUAGCGGUGAAAUGCGCAGAUAUCAGGAGGAACACCGGUGGCGAAGGCGGAUCUCUGGGCCUGUUCUGACGCUGAGGCGCGAAAGCUAGGGGAGCGAACAGG